rnacentral:lncRNA from 1 species
CAAUGCAGCUUAUUGCAGUUCUCUCGGGGGCUGGUCUGGUGGCUAAUGCACUAGUUUGUUGGCCACUUUGAUCCUGGCUGCCCUGUUUUAAGUCUUGCUAUGACUGGUUAAGCUAGUGCUCUGUAACCCCGGGGAUAACUUGAGGGUUCUGAAAGUCAUGAGGCACGGUCCCCAAGAUCAAAAUAUAAAAAUAGGUCUGGGGUCAGGGAACUCAACAGGCCCUGGAAGCUCUUCACUUUUACAGCUGGAGAUGGUCUCUUAUGUAUUUAGAAUUCGUCAUUAGGAUUCUGACAAAGAACUGCAGUAUGGGAUUGCUGCAGGGCAGGCUGUUUGAAUCUUACUCUUGAUAACAAAAAAAACCCCAACUUCUGGCUGCUGACAGGAGACAAGAGAGAUAGCUCCCUCCACUUCAGUCUAUAAUACAAACGAAGAUCAGCCAUUUGUUGCAUCCGAGGUAAACUGGCCUGGAUUUGUGGUCUGAGUUCACCAUAUUUCCACAGUAUGACAUUGAAGAAGAAAGGAAUUUUACUUGUCACUUGAUAGUUAUUGUCUCAUGACACUAAGCUAUGACUUGGAGACAAAGGCCAAGUCAAGCCCCACUGUGAGAUUCAAUGAUUCCUUGGUGGAGAAAGAAGCAUUUGAUGUGGAGCCUGACACACCUGGGCACAGAAACGCUCUUCAGACCAUACUCCUACUGCCAGGGGAUGGAGAAGGCAUGGUGUCAGCAAUUCAAGACUGUUUUUCCUACCUCUUCAGUGUCUCUUUCGGCAAAAUGAAGUGAAAAUCAGGAACAAGAUGUCUCCAGAGUUAAAUACAUGAAUUAAAUGCAAUUUCAAUGGAUGUCCCAAUGUUUUAAAUUGAAUAACAUGACUUUAAAGAAGAUAUGGGAAACUUCAACUCCCAGAAAAAUGAAGUAGAUACAUACUUCUCUAUUCCUUCCACUAAGUACAACUGAAAACCGUGACACUAUAUAUAAAACAAACAUAAGAAGACUCUGAAAGGCAAGAAUGGGUUUUCUUUUGCCUCCUUUAUUCCAGACUUGUAACUGAAGAAGCCAUCAACCAAGAAAUUUCCAACAGACCCAGAUGGAAAAAGUCCCAGUGAAAGCCUGUUCUUUAGCCAAAGGGGCCAGAAAAGAGCAAGAUAGCAGGACAAGAUCUCUGCCAUCAUGUGAGAGAGAGCCUGAGUUAGCCUGCUGGAUGGUCAAAGAUGAGUGGUGCAGCUAAGUGAAAGCCUGCUGACUUGUAGACAUAUGAGUAAGGCCAUGCUUGAUCACCUGGCUGCCAGCUGGCCUGCCAACUAAUUGCAGGUACUUGAAAGAGUCCAGCAGAGAUCAGCCACCCCAGGUCAAAUAAACACCCAGCCCCCUCCCUGAGAAUGAUGAACUAAAUAAAUGUCUUAAGUACUAAGUUUUGGGUGUUUGCUACAUAGCAAAAGCUAAUUGAUACUGUUCCCAAGGAGUGGAAAACUUCUGUA